UACACACACUGUUCAAAUGAAGUGUGUUUAUGAAAAAGAAAAACAUUCACUGCAAACAUACAACAUAAACACACAGGAUAAGAGGAUAAGGAUAGGAUUUUUUCGUUCCGUCAUUCGGCAUACAUCCUCAAUCAUCCAUUCACCAUCCAUCCAUAAUCCAUUAAUCAUCCUUCCAUUAUCCGCCAUCCAUUUUCCAUUCAUUGCUUAUUUGCUACAUACUCCAAAUCUACACAUACACAAUAUCAACACACACAGAUACACACCACACAUACACACAAGAAAAAUGUACAACUCAAACAAAAUGCAAUAAUCACUACAAAGCAAUAUUAGCAAUACAAUGAUGUGAUGCAUAUAGAAAAAACUUACACAAACAAAAUAUAAAACUGUAACAAAAAUCCAAAAAACGAAUAUUUCAUCCUCGCCGCAAAGAUUUUGCAUGCGGCGAGUACGUCUUAGCAACCCUUGGCUAUCGCAAUCCACCGAUCUCGUUUGUGACAUUCCGCUACAUUGCGGCCAGGUGUUUCGACGUUGUUUGUCAGUUAGCACCAUCAUGCUGGUAACUAACGCUUCCUGUAAGAAUAGGCUGGGAUAAGAUUUCGCGAACAUUGUUGGAUUCGGUGUAUCGUUCAAUGGUACAAGCGAUCCAGCUAGCGCCAAUGUAUCAGGAAAUACUUUUUCCGCUGCAGUGAAAUACGCCGGUUGGAUCGUUUGUUCCUUCGAAUUUUUGUAAACUUCAUCCUCUUCGGAACUCCGGUCCCGGCACAAACAGCCACAUGCCCCAAACGUGCGUUUUAACUUCUUCCAACACGUUCUAAGCAAUCCCAUCACGGAGCAAGAAUAAUGUAUGUUCGUUCCUAUCCUAUCCUUAUCCUCUUAUGAUUAUUGUAAGGGUUUGCAUAGCCUAGUGUACUACGAUUGAAUAUCGUCGUUUUGUUUAUUGGUAGCUAUGGAUUUUUUCUUCGGCAAACAACAACGCUAAGGUGUUGAUUUUUCAUGGUUACCUACGACGUUGGGUGGACUGAUUUGCAUCCGUCGUAAAACCGGUUGGAGAGCCUGCGGACAUGGUCAUGAGAAACGUGACCAUCCAGGACGUUCGGACAAAAGAUUGAAACUUUGAUUCGACAAAAUAAAUUGAAAUUUUA